AGAGUUUGAUCCUGGCUCAGGAUGAACGCUAGCUACAGGCUUAACACAUGCAAGUCGAGGGGCAUCAGGAAGAAAGCUUGCUUUCUUUGCUGGCGACCGGCGCACGGGUGAGUAACACGUAUCCAACCUGCCCUUUACUCGGGGAUAGCCUUUCGAAAGAAAGAUUAAUACCCGAUGGCAUAAUGAUUCCGCAUGGUUUCAUUAUUAAAGGAUUCCGGUAAAGGAUGGGGAUGCGUUCCAUUAGGUUGUUGGUGAGGUAACGGCCCACCAAGCCUUCGAUGGAUAGGGGUUCUGAGAGGAAGGUCCCCCACAUUGGAACUGAGACACGGUCCAAACUCCUACGGGAGGCAGCAGUGAGGAAUAUUGGUCAAUGGGCGCUAGCCUGAACCAGCCAAGUAGCGUGAAGGAUGAAGGCUCUAUGGGUCGUAAACUUCUUUUAUAUAAGAAUAAAGUGCAGUAUGUAUACUGUUUUGUAUGUAUUAUAUGAAUAAGGAUCGGCUAACUCCGUGCCAGCAGCCGCGGUAAUACGGAGGAUCCGAGCGUUAUCCGGAUUUAUUGGGUUUAAAGGGAGCGUAGGUGGACUGGUAAGUCAGUUGUGAAAGUUUGCGGCUCAACCGUAAAAUUGCAGUUGAUACUGUCAGUCUUGAGUACAGUAGAGGUGGGCGGAAUUCGUGGUGUAGCGGUGAAAUGCUUAGAUAUCACGAAGAACUCCGAUUGCGAAGGCAGCUCACUGGACUGCAACUGACACUGAUGCUCGAAAGUGUGGGUAUCAAACAGGAUUAGAUACCCUGGUAGUCCACACAGUAAACGAUGAAUACUCGCUGUUUGCGAUAUACAGUAAGCGGCCAAGCGAAAGCAUUAAGUAUUCCACCUGGGGAGUACGCCGGCAACGGUGAAACUCAAAGGAAUUGACGGGGGCCCGCACAAGCGGAGGAACAUGUGGUUUAAUUCGAUGAUACGCGAGGAACCUUACCCGGGCUUAAAUUGCAGUGGAAUGAUGUGGAAACAUGUCAGUGAGCAAUCACCGCUGUGAAGGUGCUGCAUGGUUGUCGUCAGCUCGUGCCGUGAGGUGUCGGCUUAAGUGCCAUAACGAGCGCAACCCUUAUCUUUAGUUACUAACAGGUUAUGCUGAGGACUCUAGAGAGACUGCCGUCGUAAGAUGUGAGGAAGGUGGGGAUGACGUCAAAUCAGCACGGCCCUUACGUCCGGGGCUACACACGUGUUACAAUGGGGGGUACAGA
rnacentral:rRNA from 1 species